ACUCAAAUGAAUAGACGGGGGCCCGCACAAGCGGCGGAGCGCGUUGCUUAAUUCGAUGCAAAGCGAAGAACCUUACCCAGGUUUGACAUGGUGGAAGUAGGCGCCUGAAAGGGUGGCCCAGCCGUAAAGUCGGCAACCAUCACAGGUGUUGCAUGGCUGUCGUCAGCUCGUGCCGUGAGGUGUUGGGUUAAGUCCCGCAACGAGCGCAACCCUCGUCCUAUGUUGCGACCGAGUUAUGUCGAGCACUCAUAGGAGACUGCCGGAGAAACUCCGGAGGAAGGAGAGGAUGACGUCAAGUCCGCAUGGCCCUUAAGCCUGGGGCUGCAAACGCGCUACAAUGCGCGGCACAGCGGGUCGCAAACUCGCAAGAGGGAGCCAAUCCCGAAAAGCCGCGCCCAGUUCGGAUCGGGGUCUGCAACCCGACCCCGUGAAGUUGGAGUCGCUAGUAAUGGCAGAUCAGCAUGCUGCCGUGAAUACGUUCUCGGGCCUUGUACACACCGCCCGU
rnacentral:rRNA from 1 species